GUGCUCACUUUGGCAGCACAUUUACUAAAAUUGAAAUGACACAGAAGAUGAGCGAGGCCCCUGUUCAAGGAGGACACGCAAACUCAUGAAGCAGUCCCUAUUUUU
ensembl:snRNA U6 U6 spliceosomal RNA